rnacentral:lncRNA from 1 species
GAGGUGUCAGAGAAAACUAUGGGAAAGAGGUGUAAGAUGGGGUACUGCUUAAUAGACAAUGUGCCCACUGGUUGCCCAGGGCACAUUCACACGACCUCAGACAUGAAAGAAAUCUCUGUGAUGGUUGGCUCCAGCCUGCUGAUCAGGCUGGUGGGGUAACACCGCUUGCCAAGGAUGGAGGACUCACCUGGUAAUCUCUCUCUGUCUGGGCUGCAAACCAAGAGGAGUUUGUUUGGAGGCCUCAGGUUUUUGAGGGUUGGGGUUCUGCUAGGGCCUCAGUGAGCCUUGUUGCAGACCUCCCUCCACAGAACCUCAUCAAACCAUAUUCAUUUCCGAAACAUUUCCUGGGAGCUUUUUCACAGGAAGCUGGUGAGAAUAUAAAACAGAACUCAAGACACCUGGGCAGUAGUGUUUUGAGACUCAGUAUCCUCUCUAAGCUCACUGGUCACUCUAUUCUUUCAAGGCGGGGAGACGCCAUCUUUUACAGAAGGUCUUAUCCUUCCUUGAGUAUCUCCCUCAUUCAGUUAGGCUCUCGGGGUACCAAUGUUUUGUUAACUUUAAGUCCACUUAUUGGUAACCUGAACACAAGAAUAACGUUUUAUUUAUCCAGUUUGAGACAAGAACCGUGCAAGCCACAGGGCAAAAAAUCCCAGGAGUUUCUUAAAAUCCUGCCUGCUGAUAACCAUUUACUUUUACAUACUAAGAAUAUCCUGUCUAUUUGCCCAACUUCCCUAAACAAUGAGUCAAAGGCUCAUAGGAUAGGGAAAUUUUAUAUUCAGAGAGAAAAAUCUAUUUUAGACCUCCUAUUUAUAGUUCCUGAAAAAAACAUUUUCUUUGAGGGUAAGGAUGUAUUGCCGAUGACUGCAUGUCCAGGGAGGAGCACAGUGGCCGGGUUGGUACCCUGGGGACCAAGGAAACUGAGUCAUAACGCUGCCCUUUCCAGUUGUCACUCAGCAUUAACCCCGGAGAGGCCUGGCCUGCAUCUGUCGGCUGUAUCUUAUGGAAAGUGACAGGUAAGCGUGACUCUGACUUAGGUUCAAAUCUUCCUUAGUCAGUUAGUUGUAAAAUAACCACAUUUUAUGGAAAUGUGGCUUUGAGAGUUCUUAUGUAAGUUAGUGGCUCUUGGUACAAAAAUCAAGUAUUGUCUCUUAAAUUCAAGUAUUUUUAACAUUCAAAAUCGCCCACCAGUUUUUUUUUUGUUUUGUUUUGUUUUUUAAGGUGGGUAACAGAAAAAAAUCCAUUAUAUAUGGUUAGACAAUCCAUCUAUCAUCUAUCUGCUGGUAUUUUAUGCAUCCAGCCUUAGAAACACUGCUGAUAAGAUUUUCGAGAUGUAUUCAAGAAGUGAAUCAAGCUCGCAAAUUGUUUCAAAGUAACAUGUUAGAGAGAGCCAAUAUUGCCCAAGAUUACAUACAUUUCUUUUAUCACUUUCUAAUUUUCCUUUAGUAUUGAUUUGUCUAAUAAAGAUUAGCCCACUAAUAAAAGCACUACCACGGGGCACUUUUAGUCCAAAGACAGAGGUAUAAUGAGGGUUCUUCAUCAGCUCUGAGGGGGAUCACCCCACGCAAGAUACCCAAGGCUGCACUUUGCCCGUUCUGUCCUCAAAGAAGUUCAAAGACUUCCAGAGCCUCAGAAAUGGGAUGGAUGCUACACCAAGUGGGUACUUGGCAAUAACAGCCCUCCCCCCAGGCACCUCUGAUUUUCAAACAAAGCCCCUAGAAGUCCUCAGUGCCACGGGGACAUGCAAGGCCUGGAUGAAGUAAGCUUCGGAGUGAAGACUUAAGGACGCUGACAGGACCUUCUCAGUCCCAAGGAUGCUCACCUGAGGCCUGGGGUAGAAGUUACCUGAGCCAAGUGUGGCUCUGGCUGAGCUCUAGCGAAUCAGACCUCAGGGUCUCUUUCUAAAGCCUUUGCUGUGUACUGUCACCUUCUGAUAAGCUGAGGGAUGCACAUGAAUGUGUGUCUAAACUCUUAUACAAGCAGUUAUACCUUUAUAUCGCUGGCCAGGAAGAGGGCCAUGUUGAAAGCAGACAUCUAUCCUGCAGGGACUGUUACAUGCUUGGACUAUAACAAGCCUUAGCAUUCUUGUGAUACACACCAGGGGCCCAGGCUUUAUGAUGAGGAAUAGGUUGAGAGAGAGGUUAAACAUCUUCCAGUGUGGUCCAGGUGAUUGACCAGUGGUGAUCUCAGGAGCCCACAUGGGACUGUACAGCCUCACAUAUGACAGUGUCCCUCAGAGCCAUCUUGAAAAUGGUGGAACCAGUCCCAGCCAGUAGUGCCUGUGGUCCUGGAAUAAUGAGACUCUUGGUUCGCUUCUGACAGGGUAUGCAGGCUGGUUUGCACUGUGGCCGGGCAAGAAGGGGGGAGGGGAUGCCAUCUACUCUCAACACUGCUUCCUCUGCCCAUGUGUUUUGGCACCAUCAGCUCUGAGGGGGAGGGGAGGCAGUGAGGAAAAAAAAAGUCCUUAUGCCUUCCUCCCAGGCUGCCUGGAGUGCUGACACAGGUUUGCCAUGGUGACAGGCCAGCUGGAGCCAGAAGGGGACAGAUGAUUUAAAUCUGAACUGGAACUUAAAAUUAUUUCUCCCCUUUCAAGCAUUUAGCUACCAGAAAGAUGAAUGCACUGGGGUUUCCUCCCUUUUAAUAUUAUUUCUCCUUGACAGCUUAUCAAAGUGAUUUUCUAAUUCUUUUCUUAUCCCCACAACUUGAGAUUGAUCUUCUAAGUAAAAAAAAAAAAAAAAAAAAAAAAAAAAAAAAAAAAAAAAAUCAUCUCCAAUUUAAUCUUGAAUGAGUUCAAGUCAUCUCUCAUUAUCAAUUUCCCUGGGUUAGAGAGACUGGAUGACUUGAAAUCAGUUUUCCUGCCGGUCGUUCAUGGGGAAGGGGACUGGAUCAAAUGUAUAGGUCAUUUCAAAUAAAUUCUAUAAUUCUUUUGUGAAGGACGGAGGGUUGCUAUCACACUGUGCUAUGAUGUUGGAUAUCACACAUUACCACUUACUGAUUCAUCCAUCUCUAGGGUUUUUUUUUUUCUUCCUAAUGAGCACAUGGCUCUUUUCUUUGCACUUUUUCUGUUCCUGUAGGUAACAGUGGUACACAAUUUGGCUUCAGAAACUCAACCUUCUGGGAACAAGUUCUCCAUUGAGAAUUCCCCAAAGUACAGACCAUAUGUGUGAGCUUUUCUAGCACUUAAAUAUUAACAUGUGUUUCACAACUAAUCUACAACUGGCUUGUACUUUUACAGGCUCAAGUCGGGUCCAUUCAUGCUCUGGCUGUUAUUCGUGGUAAGUCUGAGCCACAAAAGACAAAGAACAUUUCUCUAAUGCCACUGCCUACUUCUAAAUGACUGGACUUUUGUUAAGUCAAUUGCUAUAUUUCAAAAUUAAGUUGAAAUUUUUAUGCAUUCCCAGAAACUCCUGAAAUAUUCAGCUCUCUUGGGAAAUAAUAAAUUACAACUCCUGCU